rnacentral:rRNA from 1 species
GAUGAACGCUGGCGGCGUGCUUAACACAUGCAAGUCGAACGAUGAAGCCCAGCUUGCUGGGUGGAUUAGUGGCGAACGGGUGAGUAACACGUGAGUAACCUGCCCUUGACUCUGGGAUAAGCGCUGGAAACGGCGUCUAAUACCGGAUACGAGCUUCCACCGCAUGGUGAGUUGCUGGAAAGAAUUUCGGUCAAGGAUGGACUCGCGGCCUAUCAGGUAGUUGGUGGGGUAACGGCUCACCAAGCCGACGACGGGUAGCCGGCCUGAGAGGGUGACCGGCCACACUGGGACUGAGACACGGCCCAGACUCCUACGGGAGGCAGCAGUGGGGAAUAUUGCACAAUGGGCGCAAGCCUGAUGCAGCAACGCCGCGUGAGGGACGAAGGCCUUCGGGUCGUAAACCUCUUUUAGCAGGGAAGAAGCGAAAGUGACGGUACCUGCAGAAAAAGCACCGGCUAACUACGUG